rnacentral:rRNA from 1 species
CUUUCAACAACGGAUCUCUUGGCUCUGGCAUCGAUGAAGAACGCAGCGAAAUGCGAUAAGUAAUGUGAAUUGCAGAAUUUAGUGAAUCAUCGAAUCUUUGAACGCACAUUGCGCCCCUUGGCAUUCCGAGGGGCAUGCCUGUUCGAGCGUC